UUAAGCAUAUCAAUAGCGGAGGAAAAAGAAAACUAACAAGGAUUCCCCCUAGUAACUGCGAAGUGAAGCGGGAAAAAGCUCAAAUUUAAAAUCUGGUGGUCUCUGGCCAUCCGAGUUGUAAUCUAGAGAAGUGUUACCCGCGUCGGACCGUGUAUAAGUCUCCUGGAAUGGAGCGUCAUAGAGGGUGAGAAUCCCGUCUUUGACACGGACUACCGAGGCUUUGUGGUAUGCUCUCAAAGAGUCGAGUUGUUUGGGAAUGCAGCUCAAAAUGGGUGGUAAAUUCCAUCUAAAGCUAAAUAUUGGCGAGAGACCGAUAGCGAACAAGUACCGUGAGGGAAAGAUGAAAAGAACUUUGGAAAGAGAGUUAAACAGUACGUGAAAUUGCUGAAAGGGAAACGCUUGAAGUCAGUCGCGUUGGCCGGGAAUCAGCCUUGCUUUUGCUUGGUGUACUUUCUGGUUGACGGGCCAGCAUCAGUUUUGACCGGUGGAAAAAGUUCAGGGGAAUGUGGCAUCUUCGGGUGUGUUAUAGCCCUUGUUCGUAUACAUCGGUUGGGACUGAGGAACUCAGCACGCCGCAAGGCCGGGUCUUUGACCACGUUCGUGCUUAGGAUGCUGGCAUAAUGGCUUUAAUCGACCCGUCUUGAAACACGGACCAAGGAGUCUAACAUGCCUGCGAGUGUUUGGGUGGAAAACCCGAGCGCGUAAUGAAAGUGAAAGUUGAGAUCCUUGUCAUGGGGAGCAUCGACGCCCGGACCUGACGUUUUCUGACGGCCCUGCGGUAGAGCAUGUAUGUUGGGACCCGAAAGAUGGUGAACUAUGCCUGAAUAGGGUGAAGCCAGAGGAAACUCUGGUGGAGGCUCGUAGCGAUUCUGACGUGCAAAUCGAUCGUCAAAUUUGGGUAUAGGGGGCGAAAGACUAAUCGAAACCAUCUAGUAGCUGGUUCCUGCCGAAG
rnacentral:rRNA from 1 species